rnacentral:rRNA from 1 species
CGGCCCUUUCCGGGGGUAUGAAAAAAGCCCUUCGGGUUGUUAAAGUUCUUUUCAGCAGUGAGGAAAGGUGGGUAUGUUAAUAGCAUUAUCAUUUGACUUAAGUUGCAGAAAAAGCCCCGGCUAAUUCCGUGCCAGCAGCCGCGGUAAUACGGAGGGUGCGAGCGUUAAUCGGAAUUACUGGGCGUAAAGCGCAUGCAGGUGGUUUGUUAAGUCAGAUGUGAAAGCCCGGGGCUCAACCUCGGAAUUGCAUUUGAAACUGGCAAACUAGAGUACUGUAGAGGGGGGUAGAAUUUCAGGUGUAGCGGUGAAAUGCGUAGAGAUCUGAAGGAAUACCGGUGGCGAAGGCGGCCCCCUGGACAGAUACUGACACUCAGAUGCGAAAGCGUGGGGAGCAAACAGGAUUAGAUACCCUGGUAGUCCACGCCGUAAACGAUGUCUACUUGGAGGUUGUGGCCUUGAGCCGUGGCUUUCGGAGCUAACGCGUUAAGUAGACCGCCUGGGGAGUACGGUCGCAAGAUUAAAACUCAAAUGAAUUGACGGGGGCCCGCACAAGCGGUGGAGCAUGUGGUUUAAUUCGAUGCAACGCGAAGAACCUUACCUACUCUUGACAUCUACAGAAGCCAGCGGAGACGCAGGUGUGCCUUCGGGAACUGUAAGACAGGUGCUGCAUGGCUGUCGUCAGCUCGUGUUGUGAAAUGUUGGGUUAAGUCCCGCAACGAGCGCAACCCUUAUCCUUGUUUGCCAGCACUUCGGGUGGGAACUCCAGGGAGACUGCCGGUGAUAAGCCGGAGGAAGGUGGGGACGACGUCAAGUCAUCAUGGCCCUUACGAGUAGGGCUACACACGUGCUACAAUGGCGCAUACAGAGGGCGGCCAACUUGCGAAAGUGAGCGAAUCCCAAAAAGUGCGUCGUAGUCCGGAUUGGAGUCUGCAACUCGACUCCAUGAAGUCGGAAUCGCUAGUAAUCGUGGAUCAGAAUGCCACGGUGAAUACGUUCCCGGGCCUUGUACACACCGCCCGUCACACCAUGGGAGUGGGCUGCAAAAGAAGUGGGUAGUUUAACCUUCGGGAGGACGCUCACCACUUUGUGGUUCAUGACUGGGGUGAAGUCGUAACAAGGUAACCG